rnacentral:misc_RNA from 1 species
GGAGUCGUAACAAGGUCUCCGUAGGUGAACCUGCGGAGGGAUCAUUACAGAGUUCAUGCCCUAACGGGUAGAUCUCCCACCCUAUGUUAUCAUCACUUUGUUGCUUUGGCGGGCCGUCAGGCCUCGGCUUGGCUACCGGCUCUCGCUGGUAAGCGCCCGCCAGAGAACCCCAAACCCUGAAUAUCAGUGUCGUCUGAGUACUAUAUAAUAGUUAAAACUUUCAACAACGGAUCUCUUGGUUCUG